rnacentral:tRNA from 1 species
AUUUAUAUAGUUUAAUAUAAAACAUUAUAUUUUCAAUAUAAAAAUAAAUUUUAUUUUAUAAAUA